rnacentral:lncRNA from 10 species
ACAUUCAAACAAUUCCUUUCUUCCCCUGUGUCAGCCGCUGACAGGGCCAUUGCACAGUGGGGCAGGGAGAGAUUCCGUUUGGCCACAAAGAGACAGCCUGCAGGACAUAAAUUAAGCUUUAGACAUUUACUGCCAGAUCCAGAGAGAGGGAAAAGAGCUGGGAGUCUGCUGCCCACGUGCAGGAGUUGGAAUUCCCUCUGGAAACUCUGAAAGUCCAAGUUGACCCUCGGAAUCAGCAGUUUCGCUUUUGGGUGGAACUCCUCUUACCCCUGGAUGUUCACGGUGGCAUUGAUUCUAAGAAGGCACAACUGAAAAUAACCUGAGUGUCCAUGAAGAGGGGAAUGGUUAAAAUGUGGUGCUGUCAUGCUGUGGAAUACUAUACAAUGUCAACAGGAAUAAACUAGAUGUAUGCCUGUGAACAUAGGUAGAUCUAAGCAUAAUGCUGAGUGCCAAAUAAGCAGGCUGAAAAAUUAUAUAUUAUCCAGUCCAGCCAGAAGAAGAGCCAAAAGCUCUCAGCACCUCUUGACCAAGAAUGU